UGCUUCGCUGACGAGUGGCGGACGGGUGAGUAAUGUCUGGGAAACUGCCUGAUGGAGGGGGAUAACUACUGGAAACGGUGGCUAAUACCGCAUAACGUCGCAAGACCAAAGAGGGGGACCUUCGGGCCUCUUGCCAUCAGAUGUGCCCAGAUGGGAUUAGCUUGUUGGUGAGGUAACGGCUCACCAAGGCGACGAUCCCUAGCUGGUCUGAGAGGAUGACCAGCCACACUGGAACUGAGACACGGUCCAGACUCCUACGGGAGGCAGCAGUGGGGAAUAUUGCACAAUGGGCGCAAGCCUGAUGCAGCCAUGCCGCGUGUAUGAAGAAGGCCUUCGGGUUGUAAAGUACUU
rnacentral:rRNA from 1 species